GAUGAACGCUAGCGGGAGGCCUAACACAUGCAAGCCGAGCGGUAGAGUCUCUUCGGAGACUUGAGAGCGGCGCACGGGUGCGGAACACGUGUGCAACCUGCCUUUAUCUGGGGGAUAGCCUUUCGAAGGGAAGAUUAAUACCCCAUAAUAUACUGGAUGGCAUCACCUGGUAUUGAAAACUCCGGUGGAUAGAGAUGGGCACGCGCAAGAUUAGAUAGUUGGUGAGGUAACGGCUCACCAAGUCAGCGAUCUUUAGGGGGCCUGAGAGGGUGAUCCCCCACACUGGUACUGAGACACGGACCAGACUCCUACGGGAGGCAGCAGUGAGGAAUAUUGGACAAUGGGUGAGAGCCUGAUCCAGCCAUCCCGCGUGAAGGACGACGGCCCUAUGGGUUGUAAACUUCUUUUGUAUAGGGAUAAACCUAGAUACGUGUAUCUAGCUGAAGGUACUAUACGAAUAAGCACCAGCUAACUCCGUG
rnacentral:rRNA from 1 species